rnacentral:rRNA from 1 species
UUUGGAUUUGGAUCCUGGCUCCAGGACGAACGCCGGGCGGCAUGCCUUAAUACAUGCAAUUCGAACGCUGAAGCACUCUGCUUGCAGAGUGCGGAUGAGUGGCGAACGGGUGAGUAACACGUGGGAAAUCUGCCUAGGAGUGGGGGAUAACAUUCGAAAACGGAUGCUAAUACCGCAUAUCUUUUUGAACCGCAUGGUUCUUAAACGAAAGACGGCUUCGGCUGUCGCUCUUAGAUGAUCCCGCGGCGUAUUAGUUAGUUGGUGGGGUAAAGGCCUACCAAGACCAUGAUACGUAGCCGACCUGAGAGGGUGAUCGGCCACACUGGGACUGAGACACGGCCCAGACUCCUACGGGAGGCAGCAGUAGGGAAUCUUCCACAAUGGGUGAAAACCUGAUGGAGCAAUGCCGCGUGAAUGAAGAAGGUCUUCGGAUCGUAAAGUUCUGUUAUUAGAGAAGAACAAGUCAAGGAGUAACUGUCUUGACUUUGACGGUACCUAACCAGAAAGUCACGGCUAACUACGUGCCAGCAGCCGCGGUAAUACGUAGGUGACAAGCGUUGUCCGGAAUUAUUGGGCGUAAAGGGAGCGCAGGCGGUUGGAAUAGUCUGAUGUGAAAGCCCACGGCUUAACCGUGGAAGGUCAUUGGAAACUGUCCAACUUGAAUACAGAAGAGGUAAGUGGAAUUCCAAGUGUAGCGGUGAAAUGCGUAGAUAUUUGGAGGAACACCAGUGGCGAAGGCGACUUACUGGUCUGUAAUUGACGCUGAGGCUCGAAAGCGUGGGUAGCAAACAGGAUUAGAUACCCUGGUAGUCCACGCCGUAAACGAUGAGUGCUAAGUGUUAGGGGGUUUCCGCCCCUUAGUGCUGGAGUUAACGCAUUAGGCACUCCG